rnacentral:rRNA from 1 species
UACGGAGGGGGCUAGCGUUGUUCGGAAUUACUGGGCGUAAAGCGCACGUAGGCGGCUUUGUAAGUUAGAGGUGAAAGCCCAGGGCUUAACCCUGGAAUUGCCUUUAAGACUGCAUCGCUAGAAUCGUGGAGAGGUGAGUGGAAUUCCGAGUGUAGAGGUGAAAUUCGUAGAUAUUCGCAAGAACACCAGUGGCGAAGGCGGCUCACUGGCCCGAUACUGACGGCUGAGG